CAGCGCCACAAGUGGGGGCCAUGAUUAUUGGGCCUAAAGCGUCCGUAGCCGGUUUAGCAAAUCUUUUGUGAAAUCGUCAGGCUUAACUUGACGAAUUGCAGAAGACACUACUAAACUAGGGACUGGGAGGAGUCAGAAGUAUUCUGGGGGGACCGGUAAAAUGGUAUAAUCCCCAGAGGACUACCGAUGGCGAAGGCAUCUGACCAGAACAGAUCCGACGGUGAGGGACGAAAGCCAGGGGAGCAAACCGGAUUAGAUACCCGAGUAGUCC
rnacentral:rRNA from 1 species